rnacentral:lncRNA from 1 species
CUAGAUGUCAAUGGUUGCAAAUCUCUUCAAACAUUACCAGAUCUUCCCUUGAGGCUUGAAACUCUAGAUGUCAGAGGUUGUGAAUCUCUUCAAACCAUACCUAAGCUUCCCUUGUCCCUUGAAACUUUGGAUGUGAGAGGAUGUGAAUCUCUUCAAAAGCUACAAAACCUUCCUUUGUCCCUUGAAACUCUAGAUGUCACAGGUUGUGAAUCUCUUCAAAUUAUAAUAGAGUUUCCCCAAUCUCUUAAAACUCUACAAGCCACAAAUUGUGAAUCUCUUCAAACUUUACCGAAGUUUCCCCA